rnacentral:rRNA from 1 species
AUUGAACGCUGGCGGCAGGCCUAACACAUGCAAGUCGAGCGGAUGAAGGGAGCUUGCUCCUGGAUUCAGCGGCGGACGGGUGAGUAAUGCCUAGGAAUCUGCCUGGUAGUGGGGGAUAACGUCCGGAAACGGGCGCUAAUACCGCAUACGUCCUGAGGGAGAAAGUGGGGGAUCUUCGGACCUCACGCUAUCGGAUGAGCCUAGGUCGGAUUAGCUAGUUGGUGGGGUAAAGGCCUACCAAGGCGACGAUCCGUAACUGGUCUGAGAGGAUGAUCAGUCACACUGGAACUGAGACACGGUCCAGACUCCUACGGGAGGCAGCAGUGGGGAAUAUUGGACAAUGGGCGAAAGCCUGAUCCAGCCAUGCCGCGUGUGUGAAGAAGGCCUUCGGAUUGUAAAGCACUUUAAGUUGGGAGGAAGGGCAGUAAGUUAAUACCUUGCUGUUUUGACGUUACCAACAGAAUAAGCACCGGCUAACUUCGUG